GCCCCCUCAGCCUUCUCCUGUUAUCUGCUUUAUGCUCCUUUGGAUCUCUCCGCCAGGAGUCUGGGGCGGAUUAACACAAGAUAGGAACUAGAUCCAAUCUAAUCAAGGGGACCUAAUCAACCCAUCCUUCCUCCCCCACUCCUCCUUCUCAGAACAAACCCACGUCCUGCCUCUACACAACUUUUCAUGGGAUUUGGCAUCUGAUAAUUAAUAAUUCUUUCUGACUUUGCAGGAGCAGUGUCAACCUCUGACCUACUUCACAGAAAGAGGUAAAGCUCUGCACUAAGCAACUCAGGAGACCUAAAAGAAGAGGACACCUGAUCAGGGACCAUCAUCUCCACCAGAUGGGCCAUUAAGAUUAGUGAGACAAGUUGUAGAUACUAUCCCCAUUCAGGGUGAGUAUGUGUGGGUGAAGGACCAUCUUGUGUAGACCGAGUUAAAAUUUUACCUGCUGGUAAGGCUUCAAACCUGAUUAUGAGGCAGAACGUUUGAAAAACCUUUAUCGUGCCUUUUACAGAAGUAAAACCAUGAGAAUUCGGAUUCCUCUGAUUAGCAAACAGCUGAUUCACAAAUAAGUGCUGGAGCGACUCAGUCUUCCCAUACAGGUGCAGCAGACAGAAAAACUGAAGCUUCAGGUUGACAGAGAUUUUGUUUCUGCUUUUUCACCCUUACAUUUUGACUCUGCCUCUUAAGAAGAGACUGUUUCUGUAGAUUACAAAUUAACUUUGAUUGAGAACAGCAAGGAAAUCCAUCCAGCCUGAAGCAAGAAGAGCCUUCAGAAAUUGAAUAUUAAGAUUAAAAGGAGCUCUUGCCUCUUUCUGAUGGAAGAACUGAACACUCCCAGACCUCUCAGUGACCUUUUAGGGGAUGCUUUGGGGACUCUAAAAUCUUAGAAGAAGCAAAGGCUCAAGACCAUGAACAUUAUUAACAUGAGAUGCUGAGAAGGUCUUUGAUCGAGUGGAGUGGAAUUAUUUGAUAACAGCCUUCAUACAAUACUGAAAUGGAAUAACUUUUCAAGGUAGAUUUCCUUCUCUGUAUGCCCUGUAGCAGAUGUCAAGGCAAAUGCAGACAAGUGAAAAGUUUUAUUCUUUUUUGGAAAUAUUUACAAUCACAAAGCUAAUGAGCAGUGUAUUAGCAGGAAGAUUACAAAGGUUACCAUCCCACUGAGAUCAUACCUUGCUGUUGCAAAUGUAAAUUGAAACGUUACCUUCUCGAAGAGAUGUGAAAAAGAUUUUGCUGUAGUGUCUGAGACAAUAAAUGCUGGGACAGAAUGGUAACGGAGAAAUGAAUGCAUCAAAUUAAAACUUGGCAACAGAGAAAAAAAAAUAUGUUCUCCCCCCACCCAAAUUCAAAAGACACAUUCUCCAGAUGUAAGGAAAUGAAUCACUAGAGAGUAAACCUGCAUUAUCCAUGUACUGAAUCCGAGGAAUGAAGCAGGAUUCAUUCAGGGCUGUUUCCUUUGAGGAUGGCAAAGACUAGCUGAUUUAUGUGAGAAAUUUUAAGAGUAAUCUUUCCCCUUGGACAUCUCAGAGUCCCUUGUUUUAGGAUAAAAAUCAAAUGCUGCAGGUUUUUGGGUUACAUUUCUUUUUCCUCCUUAGUGUCAUUUUAAGACAAAACUUCCAGAAGAUUUUUCAUGAACUCCUACGUUCUACUGCCAGAAGUUCAUCUUGACAACCAGCGCAACCCUUUUUGUUGCUCAUUUUAACAUGCUAGCCUAUUUUGCAUUGCCUGAUACCAACAAGGAGGGGGAAAAUCCCUAUUUGAACUUUACCCCGUGACAUAAUAUCUUUCUUUGUACUCCAAAACUUUAUAGGUCUCCCUUGCUAUUCUGCCUUAUUGAAAACUCAUGCCUUAUUUGCUGCUCAUUAUUAUCUUUUCAAUAUUUCUGCAUCUUAAGGUUCCUUGUAUUAUACAACAUUUGUUUCUAACAAUUUUUCUUCUGCAAAAGGUAUGCUUUUGCACUGUUGAACUGAAUUGCACAGUGUUAUUAUCUGUCAGUUUUUCUAAUUCUUUGGGUGUCUGUCAUGAGUUACACAUCAUCCAACAGAAGUGUGUGCAGAGUAUAUUAGUUAAUAGUCUGUAGAAUCCAAAUAUCUGGCAUGAAUGGAGGAUGCAAACAGUUUUAAAGACAGCAGAAGGUGGGUUUGAGCCUUCAUUUACUUAUGAAAUAGUAAAAAUUAAUAAAUGGAUGUGGAAGACAGUCCACUCUAAAUACAUACGAUGCCGUGCUAAAGUCACAGAGCUGCUAUAUUUUUAAUGCACUUGCAAAGUUUCAUCUGCAAAUUUCAUUAAUAUAUUCCUGUAGAUCCAGGAUGGCUUCUCCUCAGGAGUCUCUACUUUCUGGAUCAUAAAGUUGUCUUCACUGUAAUUUAGGAACCUCUGCGAUGAUGCAUGUUCAGCUGUAUUUGUUACUCAACAGAUGUCUGGGUAGUUAAAUUCCUCCAUGAGCCUUUAUCAGUACUUCUAUUCUGGGAUUCCCAACUGGUUCAAGAUGUACCUCUCCUAGUCGGCAGCAGUACCAUCGCUCAGAGAUCAGCAUGCACAGCAUGGGCCACGGUUGUUCAGCACAGGUCUCGGGUGGCUGGUUGCCCUGAUCGCUGAUAGUCUUACUGCUUGAGUUGGCCGUGCAAGCCUAGAGUCAAUGUCUUGUUUUUUCCUGCCCAAAGGCCAGGCUAUAGGGCAGCUGGGGCUCUGCCCUGCUUUCGUAAUUCCCGAGAUCAUUCACUGUGGUAACUGUCACUGCUCUUCCUGUGGGGCUGCUGCCUGGGCUUGCUGCUCCUCCAUAAAUUCUGACAACACCUGCUGUUCUCGCUAUUCCCUCAUAUAUUACAUCUACAACAGAAGCAUUGAAACACACGCUGCUCACACUUCAUUUGAACAGGCACCUUCCCAAUGUAACACACUGAUUCUAAUGCUGCCUCUUUGAGGGGUUUGGUUUCAAUAAAACAGGCGUGAUAAUGAGUUAACAACACUGAAGUUGAAUUUUCUUCAGACCUACCCAGGGCUCCUUGGCUGUCCCAGCUGCUCUUCCUGCACACUGGGUCAGCUCUUGUCUUGGAGAACCACUCUUGCCUUGUAGAACCGCUCAUGCCCACUUGGUCACUGGUUGCAAAGAGUCGCCAGCAUGCAUUCAGUCUUCUGCCAGUGGGAUGAACACAUGAUAGAAUGUGGGAGAGUUUUAGGCACAUGCUGCCAGGCUGCUCUAUUCCCUUAGGCUACU
ensembl:lncRNA